AAGUCAAAAUCACAUUUUCAGAGAAGGAAGCAGGGAAGAAGUUAAAGCUCCCUGCCACCUUUACGAGAGUGUUGUGGAAAUUAUAAAAUGUUACUCAUAAAAAGUACCUUGCAAAUCCAUUCAAAGGUAUAUCACAAUUAUUUUAGUACUAAAAAAAAAACAUGUAAAGACAACUAGUAAACUUAGAAAUACAGAACUGUUGCUGUACAGUUGACAUAUUUUUUGGUUUUGCCAUCCAGAGUUCUCUCAGAAUCUGAAUUGGGCAAGAACAGAAAUAACUUGAAACACACAAAUCUGAGUAGUUCUGCCUAGUGACUCCUAAGCUGGCCCUGGUCAGUUUGAACUGUGGGAAAAGGUGAAGCAGUCCAUUGGUCUUUAGGAGAAAGUUCUGUUGCGGGGGCCUGCUUCCCUUGUGACAUGCGUGGAGAGGAAGCCUGAAUGGAGGGGUGGGCUGUGACCCACCAAGGCCAGGAUAGCAGAGUUCCUGACGUUCUCCUGAACUUCCUGGAAGUCUUGAGAGGUGAGACAGUCCCUGGAGGGGUAGUCUGCCCCGGUCAACUUUGACGUACCCAGGGUCGCCUGCCAAGUGAACUGCUUUUAUUGUUAGCAAAUGUCACUCCACCCAGGGCAGGAUUUUCAAAGAUUCCUUAGAUGAAUGGGAACUUCUGGUUGCUCCUUGUUUUCUGAAGUGUGUUAUGACAGGCAUUUGCUCUGUUCCUUCUUUGUAAUUCAGGAAAAUUCCUCAGGGCCUAGAGGGUGACCUUUAACAGAGAGCAGCAGACACUGUUACUCUUUUCCAGGCACUGCAGGGCCUGAUGGGUUGACAGGUUCAUUUUCUCACAGAUGUGUCCAUGUUUUUAGGCUGUUUCGGAAGAAAGAGGAAACAUGUCACUGCUCUAUUUCCUUGCUUGAUUUUUGAAGAUGGGGAGGAUUGAGAGAGGGAGGUGAGGUGCCAAGCUCAGCCACAGAGGAGAGCCCAAGAAGCAAGACGGUGUACCCUGCAGGUGCCACCACCAGGGCUGAUGCUCUUCACCAGGGUGCUGGCUCCUACUGGGUCUUUACAGGGAAGGCAGGCCUGUCCUUAUUCCACAUUUGCCCAGAGUCAUCUUGGGCAGGCACAUCUGGGCCUGGCUUCUAUUCUGGUGCGGUCCCAAGGGAAUGCAUUGAUGAGCUUGGUCCUCGGUUCCGAGUGGCCCUGGGGAAGGGGCUAUACCCCACCCCCACUCCACACCAAAGGCAGCCGUCUGGAGAUUUCCAGCAGGGAGGCUGGGUGCCUGCAGGCAUCACACCUGCUGUCACAGUUGUCCACGUCUUGCUUCUAGUAAAUUUCAGACAUGCCAGUGGUGGGCGAGGGCAGGGGCAGCCCAGGGGGCGUCUCCUGGGAGGACAGCUUCAGUGCCAGAAACACAGCGGGUUGGCUCGGAAGCUAAUCCCACAAUGUGGGUGGGCAUAGGAGUGGUCCCAGGCAUGCUUCUGUUUGGGGAGCAGCUGCGCAGCCGUGGGAAGAACUGAGUCUAUGGAAGCAGGAAAGCAGGUUUCUGAAGUCAUGGCUGUGUCACUUGCCGGCUGUGCUACCUAACCUCUCAGGGUCCGGGUCCUUUAUCUGUUAAAUGAUAAUGCGAACAGCUACAUCAGACGUCCUAGGAAGGAAUACAUGAAAUAGUGCAUGUGGUGGUGCUCUGUCAACAAUACCUACUAACGUUCGUGGAACUAUUCUAUGAACUGUGUAUGUUUUAGCUAGCAUUCUCAGCAACCUUUUAAAGUAGGUCACUAUUAUUAUACCCAUUAAAAUGUGAUAGCAGAUAAAGAAUGUGGAGAGGGGGAGAACAGAGAGAGUAAGAAAGUUGCCUGUGGUCAAACUGUGACUAUGCAGUGGAGCCUAUCUUCAAACCAGGUGGUCACAUUCCACGCCCACCCUCUUCAUCACUAACAAUGAUGUUAUGAUGCGGGAAAUGUCAGUGUUCACAUUUAUCAUAAGGCUUCCUUCCUCCUUAGCCUCAUCUUCAGUCGGUCGUUGGCAUCUGCAGAGUGUACCUGUAGCUGUAUUUGUACACUUGUUUUUAUUAUGUCACUCAUCGUGGUGGUUGUAAAACAUGGCCUCAGGCUUUUUGAGGCUCCUAUUGAGAGGUGGAGUCUGUGUCCCCUCUCGGCGAAUCUGGGCAAGCUUGUGACUGCUUAGACCAACAGAGCAAGGCAGGAGUGAUGACAGGAGACUUCUAAGGAGACGUCAUAGAAGGCCACUGUUGGCUGGUACACAAGGCCACCAUGUAAGAAGGUCGACUACUCUGGGGCUGCUGUGCUGUGGUCAUGCCAACCAGCAGUCCUGGCAGAGCCCAGCCUGCACUCUUCCCCAGGGUGCCAGGCACACGAGUGGAAAAGUCAUCUUGGAAGUGGCUCCUGCAGCUCCAGCUCUUCAGCCCCAGUCACUUGAGCCCAGUCUUUUUAGCUAAGGCCCGAGAUUGAGGAGGAGGGACAAGUCAUACCUACUGUAUAACAAAGUGAUGUUGUUUGCUGCUCUGUUUGGGGUCCUUUAUUGUACUGUGAUAACCAGGGUCAUCUCUGCCUCCUAUGUUUCCCCUCCUAUAGUUCUGCUUUCCAGUUAAUGGUGUCUUGGGUUACCAAUGGGUCCCUCUGAGUCCUCUUUUCCAUUCCCACUGCCCCUGCCUUCCAUAGUUCAGGACCUUACCACUCCCCUCAUCCACAGGUAGUGGCCCCCUACUGACCCGACUUCACCUUCUCACACCCUGUCCCUUCUCUGUACUGCAGCUGGAACUGGUCUUUCCAGAUGCACCUGAGUCAUAUCCAUCUCAGCCUUCCUUAAAAUUGUCUAAGGGCUCCCCAUGGCUGCCUGAAGGAGUGACACAACCUUCACAGUGGGGCGGCCCCCCUCCAGCCAGCCACACUCCCAGCCCAGCGCUGGCUACUCAGUCUUCCCGGAACCUGCCGUGCAUGCUUGUGCUUCUGUCCUUCCUCCAUGCUGCUGCCUGGGCUGCCCAGGCCUUCACACCUCCCAUGGCUAUAACUUUUUAUUCUUUCUCCAAGGCCUAAUGCUGAUAUCACCCUCUCAGAAGCUCCCCCUCCACCAACUCCACAGCACAAAUAAAUGCUCCUUCAUGGCCAUCGUAUCCUUCCCUAGUUUGUGUGUCGCUUUUGCAGCACUUCUUGUCUCUACACUUGGUAUGUCCAGGGCUUGCCAUGUAGCCUUCCUGGGAUAUAAUACGUGCUCUAUAAAUGUUUCUAGGAGUUCCUCUGCUGCUGCCCUCAGAGAGUAAUCUUCACCCUAGUAUCAUUAGUCUUCUUAGACCCAACACUUUGUCUCCUCCGCAAAAACUGUGGGUGACUGCCGAUUCAAAAAAGACGCAACUCCUUGGCAUGGCAUCAGUGACCUCCACCUAUGUCCUUGGGCUGCAGGAGCCUUCAGUAAUGGUCAAACAGUGGAAGUCUCCCAAAAAGUCAGAUGAAACCUUGAGAAAAGGAGCCAAGACUAUAAUAGUGGUCCUGUGCCACAGUGCAGGAAGAGAAUGAACAGAGAGAUCACUGGCUUUUUUUUUUUUUUUUUUCGGUGCUUGCACCAUAUCCUAGGUGGUUUCAUGCCAUCUCAUUUUCUCCCUGAAAUAUGUUCACAAUGAGGUGACUGGCUCUGGGGGAAGCCUAUGGCCAUGUUGUAAGGACACUCAAUCAGCCCAGUGGAGAGGUCCACAUGGCAAGGAACUAAGGCCUCCUGCCAACAGCCAACAAAGAACUGAGACCUUCUGCCAAUAGCCAUGAGAAAGUCCUCUUGGAAGAGAAUCUUCCCAUCUCAUUCAAGCCUUCAGAUGACCACAGCAUGGGCAAACUUUGAUUGCAGUCUCAUGAGAGACCCAGAGCGAGAACCAUCCAGUUAAGCUGCUAUCAAAUUCCUCAGCCCAUCUAAAUCGUGUUAAUACCUGUCGUAAACAGAUAACUAACAGAUUAAUAAGCAACUCAUAUACAGGCUUAGCUACAAAUCAUUCCAUACCGUAUUUUACUCAAACUGUUUUUUCCUAGUUUUGCCUUGAAGUGAAUGAAGCUCUAGAAAGCCAAAGGACAGAAGGAGAUAGGACCUCUGAGUCAUCUGGAGGAGUGGUACCCUAGAAAGCCAUCCCUAUCAUGCUAACUCACAAAUUUGGGACUUGUUUGCUAUAGUAGUUAGUGCUACUAAUUCUGUGUAAUAUACUCUCCUUUUUACUUCUCAUAGCAUUUAUUGUUCUCUACCAUAUAUAAUUAUUUGCAUAAAUAUAUUUUUUCAUUUUAGUCUAUUAGGUGCUUAAAAAAACAAACAAACAAACAAACAAACUACAUUGCCAUGGUUUGACUGUGUCCUCCAGAAGCAUGUGUUGGAAACUGAAUUGCCAUUGUAACACUAUUAAGAGGUGGGACCUCUCAGAGGUGAGUAGGCCAUGAGGGCUCUGCCUGCAUGAAUGGAUCAAUGCUGUUAUUUCAGGAGUUUCUUAUAGAAGGACAAGGUAGGCCCCCUUCACACUCUCUCUGUUGCACACUCUCUUGGCCGUCUGCCCUCUGACAUGGGAUGACACAGCAAGAAGGCCCUUCCCAGGUACAACCCCUCCAUCUUGGACUUCUCAGCUUCUAGAACUGUGAGCCAAAUAUAUUUCAUUUUUUUAUAAAUUACCCAGUCUUUGGUAUUGUUACAGCAGCACAAACCGGACUAAAACACGAAAUGAGAAAUUACAAGAUGCUUGGUGGUAUGUGCUUUGCCAAUGUAUCUCAAUUAAUUCUUGCAAUAACCCUCUACAGUAAAUACUAUUAUUCCUCUGAUUUUUCAGAUGUGAAAUAUGAGCCUGGGAGAGGUAGAGUGACUUGCUCAUAGCCCAGAAGAGGCCAAGCUGACAAAUCUGAGGAUUCCUGAAGUCACGUCCUUAGCCACACUCUAACACACUCCCUCCCAGUUAGCCCUGCAUCUCACACGGUGCCUAACAAAGUGUCUUACACACAGUUGUUGGUUAAUUUGUGCCAGUGACUGCAUGAAUAAGUGAAUGAAGAAAUAGCAAUAUGUUAAAAAGGGGAAAUGUCAUAAAAGUUCACAAAGAAUCAAAAAAUCCUGUUGCUCUCAAAUAUUUUUUCCUCAUACAAAUGGCCCUUUUUACUUGUAUGUCUCUGAACUUUAGGGUGCUAGUGGCUAGAACACAUAAAGAGAUUCAUUCACUGGAUGGAAAGCAUGCUUAGAGAAUACUAAGAAAUUCUUCAUAAUGUCUACUUUUAGAUCAAGAGCCUCAAGUGCUUCAGGACAUCAAACAAAUUUAGAACUUUUCUGAAAAGCCAAUUCAUUAAGGAAAGCUGCUGAAAUCCACAGGCACCUUUUAAGGAGAGGACAGGGACAUAGCGAUGGGUGCCCUUUCACUAGAAACCUGUGUCCAUUCACAACCAGGCUGGGGAGACUCAGAGCGUGACAAAGCCUUAAUUGUUCUUGCCAGAACAACAUGGUAAUGGAGUGAAAGAGUGGGUGCCCUGUGUACCGAGGAAAAAAGGCAAUAAAUGAGUCCCUGGCAGCACCGCAGCAGGUCAACCUUAACAAAGAUGGGGACGGCACUCUCUGCCAGAAAGCCAGUCUCAGCAAACUUGCUGAGUUAAAACUACCAGAUUUAAGCUAAAAACAGCGAUAUUUCCAAAAUAUGCAGCCUGCGCACCAUGGGAAAAGGAAGACUAUCCCUACCUGGGGAGUAGCUCACUGCACUUUUGAACUCCUGGGCUCAAGCAAUCCUCCUGCCUUUACCUCCUGAGACAGGAGGUGCUCUGGGACUUCCCUUCGCAUCUAAAAUAGCCGGAAGGAUGUGAGCGUGUGGUCCCAGGGGCUGGACUUGCCUCAUCACUCGGAAAGGAUUCACUGGGAAAGUUCCCAAACUACCCCUCCCUGAGCAGUCAUGAAUCCACACUUAAUUUGCCCCAUCAAAGUAGGCCUCAUGAAAAUAUUUUCCCUCAAACUUAAAAAACCACGGCAGGAUGAAUUCUCUCAGAAGUUAUCAUAGUUGUAGCAUUAUUGAUCCAUGAACAAUUGAAUUCUUUGAAUUCAUGCCUAAGAACACAAAAGAAGCCCCUGCACUUUUUUCACAAGCCUCUGUGGAAUUUCGCAUUCCAGUGAAAGCAAAUUACACUUAUUUUUUAUUUAGCAACAGCACUAUUUCCAACCACCAACGUAACCACUUAAUAGAGUUUUGUUUAUGAUUUAGCAAGAUUUUUUUUUCUAAUAACAAAAAAAUGCAGCUACAAAGCCCUAAGCUCAGAAAAAUACAUUUGCAAAAACAUAUUGCAAAUGUAACUCUCUUCUGUUUUUUAGUUGCCGUUAAGGAAAGUCUUAAUUGGAAGAGCAGCAUUGUCACCAACUACUGUGCCAAAACCAAAGCUGGUUCAGGGCUGGCUGAACCCACCAAGCUGAGGUCAGGGCAGAUGCAGCCCGUCCUCCGUGCUGGGCAGGAGUCUGUGGAGGAUUCUGCGUCUGUCCAUCCCGGUUGUGAGUACUCCUAGUUGGCCCCGCCAGCCACUCCUAACAGUCUUAGCUUAGAGCCCACCUCCAGUCCUAGAGGUGCCCAAAGCCCUAGUCAGGGUCCAGACCCUACAGUCUGUCUCAAGGUUUGAGGUGCUCUGGUCUGACCCAGAAAUAGCCCAGACCCUUUGGAGCCAUGGGAGUAGUUGCAGGGUCCAGGACCCAUCAAACAGUCCCGAUCAAUCCACUAGCUACUCACAUCCAAGGGCUUUGACUAGAACCAGAAAAAUUACAGGAAUGCAGCAAACCAACUGCCUGGAUGCAUUCAGCCCUGGGUCAGUCACAAUAGGUGUUGAGAACCCCUGGUUCUAUGUAAUCAAUCAAAGACAGACAUCUUCCACUACGAACUGAAACCUCGGCAGGCUCACUGGCCUUAAAUCACGCCUGUGUCACUCUGGAGCUAUGGAAUGAGUUAAACCUCAGCAUGCUCCUUGACGUUAACUCAUUCCAGUUUCUCAAAUGAGAACAAAGAAAACAUCAGAAGGUAUCCAUCAACAGUGGACUACUCUCCGCACUUGGCUAAGCAUUGUAUCUUCACUCGUAACUCAGAAUUUCCCUUCGCUUACAGGUUUAAUGCAAAUCAUUUGUUUGGUUAAAUGAUGGCACACAUAUUUGGUUUUUAAUUUAUAAUGUACUGGGUUUACUGUGGGGGAGGCAGUGUCUGCAGUUCUUUAUAAAUACUAAUGUAUCUAUAUGUGUAUUUGUGUGUAUAUUUAUAAAGGUACUUAUAGUGUGUACAUUUACAACAAAAUGUAACACAUCAAGGGUUUGCAUACAUUCAAAUAAAACACUUUAGAUUC